UGAGCAAUCUGCCCUUCUCUUUGGAAUAAGCGUGGGAAACCGCGUCUAAUGCCGAAUACGACCUCCUUUCGCAUGAUCGGAGGUGGAAAGCUCCGGCGGAGAAGGAUGAGCGUCGCGGCCUAUCAGCUAGUUGGUGUGGGUAAUGGCCCACCAAGGCGACGACGGGUAGCCGGCCUGAGAGGGUGACCGGCCACACUGGGACUGAGACACGGCCCAGACCUCCUACGGGAGG
rnacentral:rRNA from 1 species